rnacentral:lncRNA from 1 species
AGAAAAGGCAGCUUAGCAGAUUUUGAUCAUAUGGCUAUAUCUUUACGAUCCAAAAGUCUGAUCGUUGUGAAAUUUGGAUAGCAAGUGCACAACUCAUUGGGCUUCAAAUCUGUAUGGUUAAGAUCAAGAUCCGACAACUCAUCUGUGAUAUAUCACUACCGGAACAGCGACAUUGUUGGUGAGAUGUUUCCUUCCUGUUGGAUUUGGGUUUUAUUCCAAGAUCAUGUAUAUAUUAUUCUUUUAUUUCUCACAUAAGUUUGGUGUUUGCUCUCAAAAAUUUGCAUAACUAGUUAGAGUUUAGAGUGAGUGUUUUGUUCUUGAAUACGGUAGUUAUUAAAUGUUUUCAUAGAUUUGUUGCAAGUCGAAAAAAUAAAGCGAGAAAUUAAAUACUAUCUUCCCCUUUAUCCUUGUUUCUUGGCCUUUGCAUAUCCAGGAUACAAAUGGGUUAAGGUUUUUCUUUUUCUCUGUAAUAGAAUAUCCAUUUACAUUUAAUUUAUUAUAAUUCUUUAUUUGUGUCAACAAGGCCCUGUUUUAUAUGAUUUUGGUGAUGAAAGGGAAGGAAAAUAUUCAAGAAAACCAAUGUUUUUUAAUACAAGGGGAUAAACACAAGUAGGGAAAAAUGAAAACCCUAACCUCGGAUGAAAGUUUCAAAUUAAUGUAUCGUUUCCAUUUCGUCCUUGUUUUUGUAAAUGAGUAUAUUUGCUUCUUAGUUAUAGCAAAUACAUCUGUGUUUUUCUUUAGUUUCUUAUCGAUAUAUGCUUUUAUUCUAUGCUGUAAAAUAACAGUGUUAUUCUAUAGUUGCCAAUAUUUCUAUUUUCUGUUGCUUCUUCAGAUUUCACCUAAUAAUGGGCUUAACGACACGUAGAAGUUCGAGAGCGUCCAUAAUGGAUUUACCGGAGCUCAUCAUUUUAGAAAUUCUACUACAUCUGUCCAUUAAAGGGAUUGUAAUGUGCAAGUGUGUGUGCAAAACUUGGCAACGUCUAAUUUCUAACCCUCACUUUGCCAAGCAUCACUUUGCUCAUUCAAAAGUUGGCAUUCUAAUCCGACCCUCGGACGUUGGACGAAUUUCAAGAAUAAUUUACUUUAUGGAGCCAUCUGUAAUCAAUGUGAUUGAAGCUGGGCAGCAAGUAAACUUGAAGCUUGAUACCAAAUUGAAGAGUCCUUUGCUUAAUGUUGAUGCUCAUGCGAUUGCUUUCAACGAGGGGAAUACUAAGAGGAAGCGAACUAUUAACCUAGACACCAAGAAUCACAAGGUCAUUAUAGUGAAUUCGUGUAACGGCUUCCUUUGUUUGUUUGAGCGCUCCCAUAAUAACCCAACCGUUGUUUGCAAUCCGGUCAAAUAAAUAUCUGACAGACGGCAGUGGGCGCCGCUACAGCGACAGCACAGCGCUGUUGCUAACAGCGCGCGGCGCUGCUGCACACGUAGCAUCACGGGGAGCGCUACAUAUGGCGUCGGCCUCUUCUCUGCCACAAGGCACCUGCUCCAACAUGAGCUGGUGUCGUUACUCCGGGCGGCACUGGAGUGCGCCACCACCAAGAACAGAAGGUAUAUAUAUAUAUAUAUAUAUAUAUAUAUAUAUAUAUAGGUUUCAAUUUCUAUGAGUUUUGGGGAUGGGGGCCUCACGUGUAAAUUGGACAACUUGAGGCCUUACUUGCAUUUAGGGUUAGAGUUAUAAAAUUCAGGUUUCGGUCCUUAACAUUUUAAAGUACAUUCAAUUUGGGCUUUUACGCUUUGGAUUUAAUAAUUCAGUUCCUAAGGUUUAAGAAUUAAUUAAUUCGGGCCAUUAAAGUUCUGAAUUUUAUAAUUAAAGCCCUCAAACUUUAAUUAUUAAUUCAAAUUGGCCCCCAAGUUUAUAAUUAAUUCAAAUCGACCUCCAAAGUUUCAAAUUUUCAAAAUUUGAUCCCUAAAGUUUUGAAUUGAUCAAUUUAAGGCCCUUAAAGUUUUAAAUUUGUUCUAAUUGAUCCUCCAGAGUUUUGAAUUAAUUAAUUAUGGUCCCUAAAGUUUCAAGUUUAUAAUUUCAACCCCUAAAGUUUGGAAUUAAUUAAUUUUGCCCCCCUAAAGUUUUGAAUUAUUAAUCCUAAGGCCCCUAAAGUUUAAAACUAAACAAAAUAUGUAAAAUUGGUGAUUAUCUUUCUCAAAUUUUGGUACUAAGGACUCUUUUAAGAUAUGUAAUAUUCGAAAGUUGGUUAAUUGGAGCAACAUGUUGGCAAAGCAACCUCUCUUAUGGAAAUUAACUAACUUAGAAUAUUAAAAGAUGUUUUUGCAUGUGUUAUUCAUAAGAAUAUUAGUCGGCCCAAAGGAAGGUCAAUAUUUAGCCGAAUACACAUGCAUCUGUGGUGAUAAACGUGUGACGAUUAUUUGAUUUAAUGUGUUCAAUAAAUCGGUCCAAAGAAUGGUUUGUUGAUUGAUACAUUGUUUUACCGUCAAUGUUUGAUCACUAUGCCAAGAGUAACGCUUACAAGUCAAUAUCUCUAUCCAAAGACUAGAUAUUGAUGUUGUGCUUGGUAUCUUGUGAUGGGUCCCACCACUAUUUGAAAUUAUUAUUAUUUGCAUAUUAAAGAUAUUCAUGUGAGCUAUUCAUAAUAAUCGUUCUCUAAUUCAGUUUCAAGUUUUGGUGCUAAUAUCUCUGCUAGCAUCAAUUCAAUUCCAAUGUUACAUGGCACAAACAUCAGGGCAUGGCAAGAGAACGUGAUGAUUGUUCUCGGAGUCAUAAACCUAGACCUCGUUUUACGGGUCGAUCAAUCCGCUGCACUUACUCAUAAGAGUACCUCUGAUGAUAUGAUGGAGAUGAAAAAAUGAGAACGAUCGAACCGCAUAAGCUUAAUGGUCAUGAAGUGUGCUAUUCCAGAAGCAUUCCAGGGCACUAUGUUCGAUAAGGUGAUUAUGGCUAAGGGUUUCCUUGAGGAUAUUGAGAAGAGGUUUGUCAAGAAUGAAAAGGCUGAAAUAAGUACACUUUUGACGAACCUUGUCUCUAUGAGGUAUAAAGAGAAAGGAAACAUUUGGGAGUACAUUAUGGAAAUGUCUUACAUUGCUUCAAAACUAAAGGUACUCAAGUUGGAUUUAUCUGAAGACUUGUUGGUGCACUUGGUUCUGAUAUCUCUUCCGGCACAAUUCAGUUAAUUCAAGGUGAGCUACAAUUUUCAAAAGGACUCAUGGUCCCUCAAUGACCUCAUCUCACACUGUAUCCAAAAAGAGGAAAGAUUGAAGUAUGAGAAGACAGAAAGUGCUCAUUUAGCCACCACGUCUAAGGACAAAAGGAACAAGAAAAUGAAUAUUAAGAAGGAAGCUGCGGGUACAGCACCGCAAAAACAACAUAAGGAACCAACUGAAGGUGGCUGUUUCUUCUGUCGAGCUGCAGGUCAUAAGAAGAAGAAUUGCACCAAUUACCAUGCAUGGCAUGUAAAGAAAGGUAUUAUUUUUCAUCUAGUUUGUUUUGAGGUUAAUUUAACUUCGGUACCUAGACAUACAUGGUAGAUAGAUUCUGGUGCAACAACUCACAUCAGUAUGUUUAUGUAGGGUUGCCUGAGUUGUCGAAAAACAAGUGAUGGUAAAAGAUACAUCUAUGUUGGCGACGACAAAAAGAUGGAAGUAGAGGCAAUAGGAAAAUUUGGAUUAUUGUUAAAAAUUGGAUUUUAUUUGGAUCUUGUUGAGACAUUUAUUGUAU